AACGAACGCUGGCGGCAUGCCUAACACAUGCAAGUCGAACGAGAUCUUCGGGUCUAGUGGCGCACGGGUGCGUAACGCGUGGGAAUCUGCCCUUUGGUUCGGAAUAACAGUUGGAAACGACUGCUAAUACCGGAUGAUGACGAAAGUCCAAAGAUUUAUCGCCAGAGGGGCCUGCGGCGUAUUAGCUUGAUGGUGGGGUAAAGGCCUACCAUGGCGAUGAUGCGUAGCUGGUCUGAGAGGACGAUCAGCCAGACUGGGACUGAGACACGGCCCAGACUCCUACGGGAGGCAGCAGUUCAGAAUCUUGCACAAUGGGCGCAAGCCUGAUGCAGCGAUACCGCGUGUGCGAAGAAGGCCUUCGGGUCGUAAAGCACUGUCAGAGGGGAAGAUUAUGACGGUACCCUCAAAGGAAGCCACGGCUAAUUACGUGCCAGCCGCCGCAGUAACAC
rnacentral:rRNA from 1 species